rnacentral:rRNA from 1 species
AGAGUUUGAUCCUGGCUCAGAUUGAACGCUGGCGGCAUGCCUUACACAUGCAAGUCGAACGGCAGCACGGGGGCAACCCUGGUGGCGAGUGGCGAACGGGUGAGUAAAGCAUCGGAACGUGCCCUGAAGUGGGGGAUAACGUAGCGAAAGUUACGCUAAUACCGCAUAUUCUGUGAGCAGGAAAGCAGGGGAUCGCAAGACCUUGUGCUUUAGGAGCGGCCGAUGUCGGAUUAGCUAGUUGGUGAGGUAAAGGCUCACCAAGGCGACGAUCCGUAGCGGGUCUGAGAGGAUGAUCAGUCACACUGGAACUGAGACACGGUCCAGACUCCUACGGGAGGCAGCAGUGGGGAAUAUUGGACAAUGGGCGAAAGCCUGAUCCAGCCAUGCCGCGUGUGUGAAGAAGGUCUUCGGAUUGUAAAGCACUUUAAGUUGGGAGGAAGGGUAGUAACUUAAUACGUUGCUACUUUGACGUUACCGACAGAAUAAGCACCGGCUAACUUCGUGCCAGCAGCCGCGGUAAUACGAAGGGUGCAAGCGUUAAUCGGAAUUACUGGGCGUAAAGCGCGCGUAGGUGGUUCAGUAAGUUGGAAGUGAAAUCCCCGGGCUCAACCUGGGAACUGCUUUCAAAACUGCUGAGCUAGAGUACGGUAGAGGGUGGUGGAAUUUCCUGUGUAGCGGUGAAAUGCGUAGAUAUAGGAAGGAACACCAGUGGCGAAGGCGACCACCUGGACUGAUACUGACACUGAGGUGCGAAAGCGUGGGGAGCAAACAGGAUUAGAUACCCUGGUAGUCC